GACGAACCGAGCGAACGUUGUUCGGAAUCACUGGGCUUAAAGGGCGCGUAGGCGGGCUGCCAAGUUUGGGGUGAAAUCCUCCGGCUCAACCGGGGAAGUGCCUUGAAUACUGGCGGUCUGGAGGGAGGUAGGGGCGUGCGGAACUGUAGGUGGAGCGGUGAAAUGCGUUGAUAUCUACAGGAACUCCGGUGGCGAAGGCGGCACGCUGGACCUUUUCUGACGCUGAGGCGCGAAAGCCAGGGGAGCGGAACGGGGAUUAAGAAACCC
rnacentral:rRNA from 1 species